rnacentral:rRNA from 1 species
UAGCCUACGGGGGGCAGCAGUGGGGAAUAUUGCACAAUGGGGGGAACCCUGAUGCAGCGACGCCGCGUGAGUGAAGAAGUAUUUCGGUAUGUAAAGCUCUCUCAGCAGGGAAGAAAAUGACGGUACCUGACUAAGAAGCCCCGGCUAACUACGUGCCAGCAGCCGCGGUAAUACGUCGGGGGCACGCGUUAUCCGGAUUUACUGGGUGUAAAGGGAGCGUAGUCGGCAGAGCAAGUCUGAAGUGCAAGCCGUC